rnacentral:rRNA from 1 species
CCAGCAGCCGCGGUAAUACGUAGGGGCCAAGCGUUAUCCGGAUUUAUUGGGCGUAAAGAGCUCGUAGGCGGCUUGGUAAGUCGGUCGUGAAAGUCCGAGGCUCAACCUCGGAACGCCGGUCGAUACUGCCAUGGCUAGGGUUCGGUAGAGGAGAGUGGAAUUCUCGGUGUAGCGGUGAAAUGCGCAGAUAUCGAGAGGAACACCAGUAGCGAAGGCGGCUCUCUGGGCCGAUACCGACGCUGAGGAGCGAAAGCGUGGGGAGCAAACAGGGAUUAGAUACCCUGGUAGUCCACGCCGUAAACGUUGAUCACUAGAUGUGGCGGACUCAUUGACGUCUGCCGUGUCGUACUAACGCAUUAAGUGAUCCGCCUGGGGAGUACGGCCGCAAGGCUAAAACUCAAGGAUUGACGGGGCCCCGCACAAGCGGCGGAGCAUGCGGCUUAAUUCGAUGCAACCCGAAGAACCUUACCUGGGUUUGACAUCAUGGGAAAAACUGUAGAGAUACAGUGUGCGCAAGCGUCCAUGACAGGUGGUGCAUGGCUGUCGUCAGCUCGUGUCGUGAGAUGUUGGGUUAAGUCCUGCAACGAGCGCAACCCUCGUCCUAUGUUGCCAGCGGGUCAUGCCGGGGACUCAUAGGAGACUGCCGGGGACAACUCGGAGGAAGGUGAGGACGACGUCAAGUCAUCAUGCCCCUUAUAUCCAGGGCUGCACGCAUGCUACAAUGGCCGGUACAACGGGCAGCGAUCCCGCGAGGGUGAGCGAAUCCCUCAAAGCCGGUCUCAGUUCGGAUUGAAGUCUGCAACUCGACUUCAUGAAGCCGGAGUCGCUAGUAAUCGUGGAUCAGCAAAGCCGCGGUGAAUACGUUCUCGGGGCUUGUACACACCGCCCGUCACAUCACGAAAGUUGGCAAUGCCCGUAGUCAGUGGUCUAACCCUUUUUGGGAGGAAGCUGCCGAAGGUAGGGUCAGCGAUUGGGAUGAAGUCGUAACAAGGUAGCCGAU